rnacentral:rRNA from 1 species
UGCUAAGUUUGAUGGCGACCGGCGCACGGGUGAGUAACACGUAUCCAACCUGCCGAUAACUCGGGGAUAGCCUUUCGAAAGAAAGAUUAAUACCCGAUGGCAUAAUAGAACCGCAUGGUUUGAUUAUUAAAGAAUUUCGGUUAUCGAUGGGGAUGCGUUCCAUUAGGCAGUUGGUGGGGUAACGGCCCACCAAACCUUCGAUGGAUAGGGGUUCUGAGAGGAAGGUCCCCCACAUUGGAACUGAGACACGGUCCAAACUCCUACGGGAGGCAGCAUG